UACGUAGGGGGCAAGCGUUGUCCGGAUUAUUGGGCGUAAAGAGCGUGUAGGCGGCCAUGUAGGUCCGAUGUGAAAACUGGGGGCUCAACCUCCAGCUGUCGUCGGAAACCAUGUGGCUAGAGUCCGGAAGAGGAGAGUGGAAUUCCUGGUGUAGCGGUGAAAUGCGCAGAUAUCAGGAAGAACACCUAUGGCGAAGGCAGCUCUCUGGGACGGUACUGACGCUGAGACGCGAAAGCGUGGGGAGCGAACAGG
rnacentral:rRNA from 1 species